rfam:Hordeum vulgare subsp. vulgare, WGS project CAJW01000000 data, contig: morex_contig_82221
AAUCUACUGCCUCUGUCUGGAAUUACUUGUCGUAGAAAAUGGAUGUAUCUAGAUGUAUUUUAGUUCUAGAUACAUCCAUUUCUGAGACAAGUAAUUCGGGACGGAGAGAGUAUGUA